UACGUAGGGGGCAAGCGUUGUCCGGAUUUAUUGGGCGUAAAGAGCGUGUAGGCGGUUUGGUAGGUCCGCUGUGAAAACUCGAGGCUCAACCUCGAGACGCCGGUGGAAACCAUCAGACUAGAGUCCGGAAGAGGAGAGUGGAAUUCCUGGUGUAGCGGUGAAAUGCGCAGAUAUCAGGAGGAACACCUGUGGCGAAAGCGGCGCACUGGACCAUAACUGACGCUGAUGCGCGAAAGCUAGGGGAGCAAACAGG
rnacentral:rRNA from 1 species